GCAGCCAUGUUGAUUUGACGUCACUUCCUGAACUCAGAGUCGAGAAGACCAUCCCAAGUUUCUGAGGAGGAAUUCUCGAGUUGAGGGUUUCUUUCUUCUAAGGCUGCAGUAGCUCACACGUGAAAGAAGCUUUGAGACACUUGUUUAGCUCUGAGAUGUCGAGGCAUGGACUCCAGAAGACCUCUGAAGGUGUGCUGUGGGAUCUGGCACCAAGAUGUUCGCAGCAGAUCCUUUACAUCCUGUAAGUUGUGAGGCGGGGCCUCCGUGGAUCGGACUCGUUUGUCCAGAACGUCUCACAGACGCUCGAUCGGAUUGAGAUCUGGGGAAUUCGGAGGCCGAGUCAACACCUUGGGUGCUUCUCAUGUUUUAUUUGUCCAUCCUCAUUUCCUUUCCUUGCAUCUUAGCUCCACCCCCUUAGGAUGUGAGAGAAGGACACGAGGAUGAGAUGCGAGGAGAAAGGAACCGAAUAUCCUCGCUGUCUCAAGCGUCACUUCAAAGCGACAUCAGUGAAUGCUGACCGUGCUCAGCUGGAUGACCUCCCUGCGCUUCAGCGAUCUACCGUUACGCUUGUUUUUGUUUUUGUUUUUUGAUGUGCUGUUCUUGGAGUUCGGUUAAUAACAACAUUCUUAAUAAAGCAAAAUGUACUGAU